rnacentral:rRNA from 1 species
AUUGAACGCUGGCGGCAUGCUUUACACAUGCAAGUCGAACGGCAGCGCGGGGGCAACCCUGGCGGCGAGUGGCGAACGGGUGAGUAAUGUAUCGGAACGUAUCCUGUAAUGGGGGAUAACCAGUCGAAAGAUUGGGUAAUACCGCAUACGCACGAGAGUGGAAAGUAGGGGAUCGCAAGACCUUACGUUAUAGGAGCGGCCGAUAUCUGAUUAGCUAGUUGGUGGGGUAAAGGCCUACCAAGGCGACGAUCAGUAGCUGGUCUGAGAGGACGACCAGCCACACUGGGACUGAGACACGGCCCAGACUCCUACGGGAGGCAGCAGUGGGGAAUUUUGGACAAUGGGCGAAAGCCUGAUCCAGCCAUGCCGCGUGCAGGAAGAAGGCCUUCGGGUUGUAAACUGCUUUAGUCUAGGAAAAAGGGGUGCGAGGUUAAUACCCUCGCGCUUUGAUGGUACUGGAAGAAUAAGCACCGGCUAACUACGUG